AUUGCACGCUGGCGGCAGGCCUAACACAUGCAAGUCGAGCGAGUGGCGGACGGGGGAGUAAUGUCUGGGAAACUGCCUGCUGGAGGGGGAUCACUACUGGAAACGGUAGCUAAUACCGCAUACUAUCAGAUGAGCCUAGGUCGGAUUAGCUAGUAGUUGGGGUAACGGCUCACCUAGGCGACGAUCCCUAGCUGGUCUGAGAGGAUGACCAGCCACACUGGAACUGAGACACGGUCCAGACUCCUACGGGAUGCAGCAGUGGGGAAUAUUGCACAAUGUGCGCAAGCCUGAUGCAGCCAUGCCGCGUGUAUGAAGAAGGCCUUCGGGUUGUAAAGUACUUUCAGCGGGGAGGCGUGACCCGCAGAAGAAGCACCGGCUAACUCCGUGCCAGCAGCCGCGGUAAUUC
rnacentral:rRNA from 1 species